CCCGCCCCGAGCGGCGGCGGCGGUUCCUUGACCCCGGUGCCGUCCGUCCCGCUGGUGCGGGCAUGGCCGUGUCCUGGGUGCUGCCCGCGCCCCUCAGCCCGGCGCAGCUGAAGCGCCUGGAGCAGCACCGCUACAGCGCGGCCGGGCGCUCGCUGCUGGAGCCGUGGCUGCAGCCCUACUGGGGCUGGCUGGUGGAGCAGGUCCCGCGGGGGCUGGCGCCCAACGCCAUCACCCUGGGCGGCCUCCUGCUGAACUGCCUGACGGCGCUGCCGCUCAUCGCCUGCUGCCCCAGCGCCACCGAGCAGGCACCUUUUUGGGCAUAUAUCCUGGGUGCACUAGGACUUUUUAUCUACCAGUCUCUGGAUGCCAUUGAUGGGAAGCAAGCCAGAAGAACAAACAGUAGCUCUCCUCUCGGAGAACUCUUUGAUCAUGGUUGCGACUCUAUUUCCACAGUAUUUGUUGUCCUUGGAUCCUGCAUAGCAAUCCGACUAGGAACAAAUCCUGACUGGUUGUUUUUCUGUUGUUUUGUGGGACUGUUCAUGUUCUAUUCUGCUCACUGGCAGACAUACGUAUCAGGCAUACUAAGGUUUGGAAAAAUUGAUGUAACUGAAGUUCAAAUCGCCAUAACAAUGCUGCUCUUGAUAUCUGCCUAUGGAGGAGCAGCAAUAUGGGACUCUAAGGUCCCUUUGCUGGGCUUAGAACUGAAGUUCUUUGCAGUUAUUGGCAUCCUGUGUGGAACAGCACUUUCUUUUUUCAAUUACUUCCGUGUCAUCUUUGGUGGAGGGGUUGGAAAGAAUGGAUCUACGAUAGCAGGAACGAGUGUUCUUUCACCAGGCCUGCACAUUGGACUGCUUAUCACACUGGCCAUUACAAUUUAUAAAAAGUCUACAACUCAGCUGUUCGAAAAACAUUCUUGCCUCUAUGUCUUGACAUUUGGGCUUGUGAAUGCCAAAAUCUCUCAGAAGCUGGUGGUGGCUCACAUGACAAAAAGUGAAAUUUGUCUUCAGGACUCUGCAUUUAUUGGGCCAGGACUUCUGUUUUUGGACCAGUACUUCAACAGUUUCAUUGAUGAAUAUAUUGUUUUGUGGAUAGCAUUGUUCAUAUCCUUGUUUGAUAUGCUGAGAUAUGCCAGUGGUGUGUGCCUACAGAUUGCUGCUCAUCUUCAUAUACAUGUCUUCAGAAUUUCAUCUCAUCAAGCUCCUGAGCAGGUUCAAAACCAUAAUGACUGAUUAAAUAGAUCAAGGACAAGAGAAGAAGCAGUUAGGGGGACGAAGCAGCCUCGUUGUUUUUUGGGAAGACAGAUUAAGCUUUUGAAGAAAACAAUUUUAUGAGAAAGUUCACUGUGUUUCAGACAUUACCAGAUGUUAGAAUUAGUAGAUGCAACCUUGUGCAGAUGCUGUUGUACUUUUGAACCAGUACAAGUUGCUCCUCCACUGAGCCAUCAGAAUAACAUGGACUGAAGAGACUUGCGAACAGUUGCCAUCUCCUGCUGUUGCUGUCACAAGAAAAGGAGAUAAUGCUGAACAAAUGCUG